CUCCCCACCGAGCAGAGGGCCCGACAUGGGGCUUGAUCCCAGGACCCCGGGACCAUGACCUGAGCCAAAAGCAGAGGCCUCAACCCACGGAACCACCCAGGCACCCUCCAUCCAGCUUCUAAAGAAUCCCUCCUUAGCACCUCUCUUGGAGAGAGAAACCAGGAAGGAGGAACAAGCCAGAGCCUUCUAACCCAGAACACCAAUGACAGUUGUCUUCAGGAGAAAAUAAGGAAGUUACGAGUACAUGUGCAUCUCUUCUAAAGCCUGAGUCAUCCUUCCUGUUGUAAUAACAUCUGUAGGGCCUUCCUGAGAGCCAGCAGUGCGGUUGAGUCAGACCCUCGGAGAAGGUCCGAAAGCUGGAGCAGCCAGAGCUCCCAGUCUGUGGGGCCUGCUCUGUUUCUGGUCAGCUCCCACUCAUAGUCUUUUUGUCCUCUUUGUCCUCAGUAUGGGCCUUUGCAGGGAUGAGGAUGCCAGCCCUCAUCGCAACUUUUUCUAUUGCCCCUGGAGUGAAUUCACCCAUCUCAUCUGGGAAAUUGUACCGGUCCAGAGAAGCUUUCAGGAACUUGGAACCAAACUGUUUAUGCUUUUGAAGUAUUCCAUUGGCUGUCAAGAAUUCUCAUUAACUGAAAAGGUAAUGAAGAAAAAGCCUGUACUUUUGGAGACCUAGAAUCUUACUUAUGCUAAUAAGCUUUUGACUGCGAUUUCGUGGUCCGGUAUUUCCUGCUGGCAUCUUGGUGGUCCCACGGAGCUCCCCACC